GGGCCCCGGGCCGACCAGGGCGACCCCGGUCUCUGGCCCCGCCCCCAGCCCAGCUGCUAAGGCAGACGGCAGCUGAGGCAGCGCCGGCCCCUCGGCGGUACCGAGCCCCUGAGCCUGCCCGGGAUCCUGUGGUGGAGCGGGGCAGCGAGCAGCCCUUGGCGCGCAGGAUUUGCUGCACGCAGUUACUCUGGGCGACCGGUUACCGUGAGAACCCCAAAGCGGGAAGGUUAGAGAGGCGAUUAGCGGUCCUUCUCCGCCAACUGUCCGACCGGCGGUGGUCCUCCAGCGGAGAGUGAGGCCGGAACAGAGAAUAACAUUUGUUUGGUGGAGAUUUAUGAGAACAUCGUUACCUGACCUUGACCUGACCUGACCUCAAGAACAAAGGAUCUGGGACAUCCCUGGUGGUCCAGUGGGUAAGACUCCCCGCUCCCAAUGCAGGGGGUCGGGGAACUAGAUCCUGCAAGCAUGCUGCAACUAGGACCUGGUGCCGACUAAAUAAAUACAUAAUUUUUUUUUAAAAAAAGGAUCUAACAUCAAGAAGUUUGCAACAACUAACCACGCCCCCUCCACCUUUCCUAUAAAAAGGCUUUGCUGAAAGCUUUAGGGGAGUUUGGGGUUUUUAAGGCAUGAGCCACCAAUCUCUUUGCAUGGCCUGCAAUAAACCUUUCUCUGUUCCAAACUCCAACGUUUUGGUAUUGUUUGGCCUCACUGUGCGUCAGGCACAUGGACUUAUGUUCGGUAACAUUAAUUGCCAGAGGAGUGGACUGGAAUUGAGUUUUGUCACUUUGUUGAGUAAUUCACACCAGCUAAUAAUCAUGUCUUUUCUUUUAAAAUGUGCACCAUAAAAAAAAAAAAAAAAAAAAAAGACCUCCCUGGCGGUCCAGUGGCUAAGACACUGCCCUUCCAAUACAGGGAGCAUGAGUUCGAUCCCUGUUAGGGGAAGUUCUCCAUGCUGUGCGGCACGGCCAAAAAAAAAAUGAAAAUAAAAAUAAAAUGUGCACCAUGGUGUUUUGCUUGUA